rnacentral:rRNA from 1 species
UACGGAGGGUGCAAGCGUUAUCCGGAUUCACUGGGUUUAAAGGGUGCGUAGGCGGGCAGGGAAGUCCGUGGUGAAAUCUCCGAGCUUAACUCGGAAACUGCCGUGGAUACUCUCUGUCUUGAAUACUGUGAAGGUGAGCGGAAUAUGUCAUGUAGCGGUGAAAUGCUUAGAUAUGACAUAGAACACCAAUUGCGAAGGCAGCUCACUGCGCAGCGAUUGACGCUGAGGCACGAAAGCGUGGGGAUCAAACAGG